GAGACCUGUACGUACAAUUGCCAACGAAUAUCUUCGGAUAUGAUCGGGCACAAUGUACGGACUGCUCCGGAAACGGAGAGGAAGGUGCAGGCUACGGUAGGUCUGUAUGCCCCGAAUCUCCUGGGCUACACGCGCGCAACAAUGGUAGAGACAAUGGGAUGCAACUCCGAAAGGAGAAGCUAAUCCUCUAAACUCUAUCUUAGUCCAAAUUGAGGACUGUAACUCGUCCUCAUGACGUCGGAAUCUGUAGUAAUCCCAUGUCACAAUCGUGGGGUGAAUAU
rnacentral:rRNA from 1 species